GACGGCAUGGUUUGGCACGUCGAUGUCGGCUCGUCGCAUCCUGGGGCUGGAGUAGGUCCCAAGGGUUGGGCUGUUCGCCCAUUAAAGCGGUACGCGAGCUGGGUUCAGAACGUCGUGAGACAGUUCGGUCCCUAUCCGCUGCGCGCGGAGGAAUCUUGAGAAGGGCUGUCUUUAGUACGAGAGGACCGAGACGGACUGACCUCUGGUGUGCCAGUUGUUCUGCCAAGAGCAUGGCUGGUUGGCUACGUCGGGUUGUGAUAACCGCUGAAAGCAUCUAAGCGGGAAGCACGCUUCAAGAUAAGGGUUCCCACAGGUGAUCCUGGUAAGGUCCCCGAGAGAUGAUCGGGUUGAUAGGCCAGACGUGGACGCAUCGUAAGGUGUGGAGCUGACUGGUACUAAUAGACCGAGGACUUUCAUUAACA
rnacentral:rRNA from 1 species